GUGUGCCCUUUGCAUAGAAUACGAGCGUGAUAUAAGCUAAGACAAAAUAGAACCAAAUCGGAAUGGCUAGUUCAGACGGAGUAAGGCGACAUGGAGCUCCUGGCUGGCUUGCGUCUGUUAUGGUACCGCUUAGCCCCGCCUCGUACUUUCAAGUUGUGCGCGGACGUUUGAUACUACAAUAGCCCACAGGCAACACUGACGUCCCUUCGACGCUGGUCUGCGGCCAAAGUGAAUUUUCACAGCAUCAGCCUAUGCUAGUGCCAUCUGAGUCAACAUGUCUAGGCAGCCAAUGUGCAAAGUAGGAAGCAGUCGCGGUACCCUAUUGCGUCGAGCCUACGAUUGGCAGCCACUUCGUUUGAGCUACAAAAUUUGAUCUUGAGUUUAGGUUCUACAAUAGAGCGUGCCCAGCAGCAAAUCAUGCAACGCUUUGACACUGCCUGUUCGUCUCCGUUCCCUGAAACCACUUAGCAAAGGUAAUGAAAUGGCCGACAGUGCUCGUUGAGGCGCCUGGUAACUGUGGACGCAGUAGCGCGGACAAGUAACCUUCCAGAACGUAACACGUAAAUAAACUAGCCGACAUGGGAGAUGUUAUUAUGCGCCAUUUACGACUAACUGGGUUCACUUUCCCGGAAAGUUCAAAG
rnacentral:lncRNA from 1 species